AUAUUUUACUAUCUUAUUGUUUUAUUUCAGUAAUUCCUUUCAUAUACCUCGGUAUUGACAUUAUCAUUGGUUUAUUCUUGAAAUUGUAACAGAAGUUGGUUGUGUGUGUAUUAUUAGCAUGUUCUAAUGGAUCUAAGGAGGCUCCUUAAUCAAUCACUGGAACACUUAGUUUGAUCUGUGUUAUUAAUUUUUGUGUUUAUGUAGUUUGUGGCUGAUGGCUUUUCUCUUCUCUCGGCUGAACGAGCUUCUGACCGGAAAGCUUGCUCAGGAGUGAGGACGGAUACUCGAGUGUGGAAGUUUGGGUCACUCCAACGAAAACUGAGAUCAUCAUCAGAUCCACUCGAACCCAGGUCGUUCUAGGUGAGAAGGGAAGGAGAAUUAGGGAGCUUACCUGAGUGGGAUCGAAGAGGUUCAAGUUUCUUGAAAACAGUGUAGAACUCUAUGCUGAAAAGACCAACAACAUGGGCCUUUGUGCUAUUGCUCAACCGGAGUCCCUCUGCUACAAGCUCCUUCGUGGCCUAGCUCUUUUUACUGUUUUUGUUCUAGGUUGUGAAGAAUCAAAUAUGAACACUUGCUUUGAGCAUACAAUACGAAACUGAAUUGCCCAUAUAUGCUAAUGGGCAAUACAAACCCCUUAAUAAUUAGAUUUUCUGCUAAACAUAAUAUUUUGAACCAGUUAAGUGUUGAUAAUACCCUUAGUAAAAGCUGAUAAAUAUGGUUUCUACGAUUGAAGUUUCAAGCAAAAAGCAUUUUAUAUGCUUAUUUCUAGGCUUCAAUUGCAUUGUUCAUUUCCAACUUGCAGAAGUGUAGUUCCAAGGCAAAUUUUAGGAACAUUGACUCAGCUAGGCAGAACACAAGUUGGUUCCAAUUAGUUAGAUCAUUGGACGGUAGAUAACAUGUGGGCCCAAGUAGAGAUGUGUCAUUUAAAAUGGACACACUAAUGUUUUACCAAGUUAGCCAACUAAAUUAUGGGUUGCUUCUGCUGACUCACAUGUCUUUAUACGUUAUAGAAUGGAUGUCAUUUACAAAUUCAAAGGCCUAAAAAUUGGAGGUCAGAUGCAAGCUUCAUUCACCUCUGAUGGGAAACAUUGUCUCAGUUAGUGGGGGAUCAAUUCAAAUGUUGUGUUGGGAACUUCCCUUUCGUUUGUUUUUGCUGGUUAUAUUGUUUGCUGCUGCUUAUUUUGUUUGCUGCUGGUUAUUUUGCUCUUUUGCAGCCUUAAUUCCUUUGUUGCACUUUUUGUUUUCUUUCUACUGGUUUGCGUUUUCA